GGUUGCUCUUACUACAGCACAUUACAAAUUGCGCUGUCCCGCUCUGUCACACACCGGCGACACGGAGCGAUUUGUCCAGCUGAGACCCACUCUCUGAACGUGGCUACAAAUCUCCUCCUGGGCUCACAGAACCCCAGCCGUGUACUCCCGAG